AGGCGCGUAGCUCAGUGGUAGAGCACUACCUUGACAUGGUAGGGGUCGGUGGUUCAAUCCCACUCGCGCCUACCA
rnacentral:tRNA from 2 species